rnacentral:rRNA from 1 species
CCUACGGGGGGCUGCAGUGGGGAAUAUUGCACAAUGGGCGCAAGCCUGAUGCAGCCAUGCCGCGUGUGUGAAGAAGGCCUUCGGGUUGUAAAGCACUUUCAGCGGGGAGGAAGGCGGUGAGGUUAAUAACCUCAUCGAUUGACGUUACCCGCAGAAGAAGCACCGGCUAACUCCGUGCCAGCAGCCGCGGUAAUACGGAGGGUGCAAGCGUUAAUCGGAAUUACUGGGCGUAAAGCGCACGCAGGCGGUCUGUCAAGUCGGAUGUGAAAUCCCCGGGCUCAACCUGGGAACUGCAUUCGAAACUGGCAGGCUAGUGUCUUGUAGAGGGGGGUAGAAUUCCAGGUGUAGCGGUGAAAUGCGUAGAGAUCUGGAGGAAUACCGGUGGCGAAGGCGGCCCCCUGGACAAAGACUGACGCUCAGGUGCGAAAGCGUGGGGAGCAAACAGGAUUAGAUACCCCGGUAGUC